ensembl:lncRNA CASP4LP caspase 4 like, pseudogene
AUUUUUCAGUCUGAGCCUUUUUUCAGUGCUGUAAGAAAGGACGGAGGCUGUUAUCUAUGGCAGAUCUAUCCAAUAAAGGAGAGAAAGGACCGCAUACGCCUGGUUCUCAUCAUAUGCAAUAAAGAGUUUGACCAUCUGCCUCCAAGAAAUGGGGCUGACUUUGCCAUCAUGGAGAUGAAGAAGCUGCUUGAGGAUCUGGGUUACAGUGUGGAUGUAGAAGAGAAUCUGACAGCCAGGAUAACGUGUCCAGGAGAGACAGCACAAGGGGCUCCAUCUUCAUCACACAACUCAUCGCAUGCUUCCAGAGAUAUUCCUGGCGCUGCCACCUAGAGGAAGUAUUUUGGAAGGUUCAGCAAGCAUUUGAAAGUCCGGAGGCAACAGUCCAAAUGCCCACCAUAGAACGAGUGUCCAUGACAAGAUAUUUCUACCUCUUUCCUGGCAAUUGAAAAUGGUUAAGCAUUGAGAGUUGUUGGUGGUGUAUGAAAUAAAUGAAAGUGUGAUAUUGGAGCAGGAAACCACAAGCAGCCCAGCCCUCCUUUAUCAACUUCAAGAAACACCUUUACUAGUACAGAUUGAAUGCUUAACAUUUUGUAUUUCAAUAAAGGUGAAGACAAAUGAA